rnacentral:rRNA from 1 species
GGCAGCGGGGGUAGCUUGCUACCUGCCGGCGAGUGGCGAACGGGUGAGUAAUACAUCGGAACGUGCCCUGUAGUGGGGGAUAACUAGUCGAAAGACUAGCUAAUACCGCAUACGACCUGAGGGUGAAAGUGGGGGACCGCAAGGCCUCAUGCUAUAGGAGCGGCCGAUGUCUGAUUAGCUAGUUGGUGGGGUAAAGGCCCACCAAGGCGACGAUCAGUAGCUGGUCUGAGAGGACGAUCAGCCACACUGGGACUGAGACACGGCCCAGACUCCUACGGGAGGCAGCAGUGGGGAAUUUUGGACAAUGGGGGCAACCCUGAUCCAGCAAUGCCGCGUGUGUGAAGAAGGCCUUCGGGUUGUAAAGCACUUUUGUCCGGAAAGAAAUCGCACUGGUUAAUACCUGGUGUGGAUGACGGUACCGGAAGAAUAAGGACCGGCUAACUACGUGCCAGCAGCCGCGGUAAUACGUAGGGUCCAAGCGUUAAUCGGAAUUACUGGGCGUAAAGCGUGCGCAGGCGGUUGUGCAAGACCGAUGUGAAAUCCCCGGGCUUAACCUGGGAAUUGCAUUGGUGACUGCACGGCUAGAGUGUGUCAGAGGGAGGUAGAAUUUCCACGUGUAGCAGUGAAAUGCGUAGAGAUGUGGAGGAAUACCGAUGGCGAAGGCAGCCUCCUGGGAUAACACUGACGCUCAUGCACGAAAGCGUGGGGGAGCAAACAGGAUUAGAUACCCUGGUAGUCCACGCCCUAAACGAUGUCAACUAGUUGUUGGGGAUUCAUUUCCUUAGUAACGUAGCUAACGCGUGAAGUUGACCGCCUGGGGAGUACGGUCGCAAGAUUAAAACUCAAAGGAAUUGACGGGGACCCGCACAAGCGGUGGAUGAUGUGGAUUAAUUCGAUGCAACGCGAAAAACCUUACCUACCCUUGACAUGCCACUAACGAAGCAGAGAUGCAUUAGGUGCUCGAAAGAGAAAGUGGACACAGGUGCUGCAUGGCUGUCGUCAGCUCGUGUCGUGAGAUGUUGGGUUAAGUCCCGCAACGAGCGCAACCCUUGUCUCUAGUUGCUACGAAAGGGCACUCUAGAGAGACUGCCGGUGACAAACCGGAGGAAGGUGGGGAUGACGUCAAGUCCUCAUGGCCCUUAUGGGUAGGGCUUCACACGUCAUACAAUGGUGCAUACAGAGGGUUGCCAAGCCGCGAGGUGGAGCUAAUCCCAGAAAAUGCAUCGUAGUCCGGAUCGUAGUCUGCAACUCGACUACGUGAAGCUGGAAUCGCUAGUAAUCGCGGAUCAGCAUGCCGCGGUGAAUACGUUCCCGGGUCUUGUACACACCGCCCGUCACACCAUGGGAGUGGGCUUUACCAGAAGUAGUUAGCCUAACCGCAAGGAGGGCGAUUACCACGGUAGGGUUCAUGAC